ACGUACACCUCGUACACGCCGGUUCCGGUCGCGCCGUCCAUGCCCAGCCGGCCACUGACCGCUAUGUUUCGUUAGUG
rnacentral:sRNA from 1 species